GCGAUUUCCAUUGCGCUCGCCCCUGCGCCGCUAUUUACUUUGAAACCCGAUUAGAAUGGACCGUCUAUUGUCGCUAAAGAGGAAGAAACCCCGGUUAGACCGGGUGAAAAGCUAAGGGCGAGCAGAACUCUUGUGAAAUAAAUAGUGGCGCUGGGUGAAAGGGGCUCGAGUCGAACCCCUGAAAGUUUGGGACGCUUUGUUCAAAGCUGUAGUCUUAAUUAGGCUACGAAUGAAAUCUGACUGGCUAUGUGAGCGUUAUCCAGCAAAAAUGUAAUCGCUUAAUAAUAACUCCAUCCCCAAACGCACGAAAUCACAACCAUCCUAUUAUCAACAAUAAAAUUCACACGUUCAUCAAUGAACUGUGCAAAAGACGAAGUAAAACUAUUGGCAUGCACUGGAGCUGCUGCCAGUUUGGCCGCUGUAACAGCGCCUAUAUAAUGGGUUGCGCUAACAUGAUGGAGAGAGGGAAUAAAAUUGAGGUCGAUAGCUUAGACACAGAGGGCGAAGCCUAAUGUUUUGACACUUAAAAGACUAGGAAGAGAGCGAGGGAGAGGCAAGAGAGAGGGAGAGGGGCAGCGAAUGGGAACGCAAGGCGAAGGCAGGGAAACAGCGCGCUAGGACAAGAGAACAGGGAGAAGUGGACACCGCUGCAAUGAGACGCCUUUACACUGAAACACCGUUUCCUUCAAUUCCGCUCUUAACACAUAGGUUUGGCUAACAAUGAAACUUGAGCAGCUGCAGAUAGGACCACCUGGAUGCUCUUGCAUUGGUCUUAACCACUGAAUGUCUACAGACUGGGAGGGGCAGUUGAGAAUGUCAGUUUUCCAUCUUUGCCCAUCUUGUCAGUAUUUGAGCGAAAUCCUUCCCUCAUCAUUACUGCCAUGCUGAAAUGUCAUUUCUGGACAAACCACUUGACUAAGUGUGGGCUUUGGAGACAGUUUCUGUCAUUCUUUGCAUCUGGCAGGCAGAUGAUUGAAUAUGUUCAUGAAAGCGUGUGUGUCCACCUAUACGUUCUGUUCCUGCCUCUCUCUGUUCCAGCAUGUUCGUCAGCAUGAAUAUGGAAAGCUGUGGUGACAUGGCUUAAUGACAACUCUGUUAGUUGCAGUCUGUUUCUUAUGAAAAUGCACCAAACUUGCUAACACAAUCAACAGUGAUGAUUGUGUGGUUUAUAAAAAUAACAUGAACUCAAGAAUGCUUCGCUAAGACAUACAUUAAAUAUGUUGGAAUGAGAAUGAUUGUAAAUAUUUUGUCUGAAUCACUGCUUUGUUAAAGCUCUAUUUGUUCUCUCUUAAUGAUGUGUAUUAUCUGUCUGCAAUCUCAGACAUUCUUUCAGCCGUAUAUAUGCAGAAGUCAUAAAAUUGGAGCUCGGAGUGGAUUGAUAAAAUGGCAGACAGUGGAAGAGUUCACACACAUUCAGAAAAAUGUAAAAUAUUGAGCCUUUAAGGGUUUUUUCCUCCAAGGGAAUCAUUAAAGUAAAACUCUUUUGGAAGAGUUUGAAACUCUUUUGCUAUCCUAACUAAAAACAUUUGGAGGCCGAGAACCAUAUUAAUAACCAGUACGGACACACACACACUGAAAAACAAACACAGGAAAUGCUAUGCCUACAUCUCUGUUUAUGCUCUGUCCUUCUCUCACACUGUACAAUGUGUGUGUCCUCUUUCACCUCUCUGUAUCAGCUCUAUCAGAUCUGAGGAGGAAAGAAUGCAGCAGUCAUUCCUAAACACACACAUUCCUCUAGGCUAGCUUUAUAAUAUCCUGGUCUGAAACAUGCAUUGCAACAUUAAUUUUAUAUUAACAUUAAAAUGUAUUUACAGUUGUGUUUUUUGUCAGGCUUCCUGUAUAACAACUGCAUUAUAUUGGAAAUGUGUAUUAAUCGUAGAUACUACCUGUUUAGAGACAUGUAAAUAUAAACUAUUAACAGCUGUGAUGUAACUAUAAUGUAAAAACUGACCAUGUUUAUACUGUCCCAGCUGGAUUGCAGCAGUGUAUUUGUGUGUAUAUAUAUAUAUAAGUACACAAGUGUAUGCUGACAUCAAGCUGGUCUUGUGUGCUUGUGUGAAACAGGGGAGGUACGUUCAUUUGUGCUGGUUUUAAGAUUUUGUUUCUGAUUGUAUCUGUAUGUACAUAACAACUAAUGUAAUGUUUUCUCUGUCUAGUGUCUAUGUAAGCUUAUGUAGAAAUGUCUAUAAAAUAGUAACUGAAUUUAGCAGUAAAUCCACUAACUUGAAAAAUUUUGCUAAAGGCAUAAGAAAAAGUCAACAGCAUAAAGGAGAUGUAAAGAAAAAAAGAGAUAGAACAAAAAAACCAAUAUAAUUUAAAAAAAGGAAAAGAAAGUAAGAAUAAAGAUAAAUGAACUCAGCCACAUCUUUUAUUAUCCUAAUCAUGACUGCACAGUAUGUGGCUGCUAAAUAUCUCCUCAUAUUCCAAAAUGAUAAUUGGCUUACUUAAUGUUCACUGUUAUCGUUUGAUGCUAAUGUCAUGUCUGACAGAGCAUCAAGAACAAGUAUUAUACCAUUUUGGCCCCUCGUUGUGUCCUGCACUUUUCCUUCUAGGUAUUUGGGAUUUACCCAUGCCAGCGUGAACAAAAGCUGUGCUUCCUUCUCUAUCAGAGCAUGGUUAAAGGUAAGUGGCACCCCCUAUUAGGAUGACAAGGAAAUUAAUGUGUAUCCCCUGGUUCUGUAUUACUUAUUUAUAGGUGAACACCUUUUCCUUGCUUUGGGCAUGUCUGGGCAUUUUUGAGAGCACAGGUGAAUACCUUAUACAACUGAGAUACAACUGGCAUGAAAGCAGAUAUACAGUCUAUUGUUAAUCUUCAAAAUAUGACUUCAGCCUUCAGUGUAAUUGUACAACACUACUAGAGGAAACAUCAUGUAUUUGAAUGAAAUAAACUGACCACAAGCAUGUA